rnacentral:rRNA from 1 species
GUUAUAUGGUCAAGUGAAGAAGCGCAUACGGUGGAUGCCUUGGCAGUCAGAGGCGAUGAAAGACGUGGUAGCCUGCGAAAAGCUUCGGGGAGUCGGCAAACAGACUUUGAUCCGGAGAUGUCUGAAUGGGGGAACCCAGCCAUCAUAAGAUGGUUAUCUUGUACUGAAUACAUAGGUGCAAGAGGCGAACCAGGGGAACUGAAACAUCUAAGUACCCUGAGGAAAAGAAAUCAACCGAGAUUCCCUUAGUAGUGGCGAGCGAACGGGGACUAGCCCUUAAGUGGCUUUGAGAUUAGCGGAACGCUCUGGAAAGUGCGGCCAUAGUGGGUGAUAGCCCUGUACGCGAAAAUCUCUUAGUCAUGAAAUCGAGUAGGACGGAGCACGAGAAACUUUGUCUGAAUAUGGGGGGACCAUCCUCCAAGGCUAAAUACUACUGACUGACCGAUAGUGAACUAGUACCGUGAGGGAAAGGCGAAAAGAACCCCGGAGAGGGGAGUGAAAUAGAUCCUGAAACCGUAUGCGUACAAGCAGUGGGAGCAGACUUUGUUCUGUGACUGCGUACCUUUUGUAUAAUGGGUCAGCGACUUAUUUUCAGUGGCGAGCUUAACCGAAUAGGGGAGGCGUAGCGAAAGCGAGUCUUAAUAGGGCGUCUAGUCGCUGGGAAUAGACCCGAAACCGGGCGAUCUAUCCAUGGGCAGGUUGAAGGUUGGGUAACACUAACUGGAGGACCGAACCGACUACCGUUGAAAAGUUAGCGGAUGACCUGUGGAUCGGAGUGAAAGGCUAAUCAAGCUCGGAGAUAGCUGGUUCUCCUCGAAAGCUAUUUAGGUAGCGCCUCAUGUAUCACUGUAGGGGGUAGAGCACUGUUUCGGCUAGGGGGUCAUCCCGACUUACCAAACCGAUGCAAACUCCGAAUACCUACAAGUGCCGAGCAUGGGAGACACACGGCGGGUGCUAACGUCCGUCGUGAAAAGGGAAACAACCCAGACCGUCAGCUAAGGUCCCAAAGUUAUGGUUAAGUGGGAAACGAUGUGGGAAGGCUUAGACAGCUAGGAGGUUGGCUUAGAAGCAGCCACCCUUUAAAGAAAGCGUAAUAGCUCACUAGUCGAGUCGGCCUGCGCGGAAGAUGUAACGGGGCUCAAACCAUACACCGAAGCUACGGGUAUCACGUAAGUGAUGCGGUAGAGGAGCGUUCUGUAAGCCUGUGAAGGUGAGUUGAGAAGCUUGCUGGAGGUAUCAGAAGUGCGAAUGCUGACAUGAGUAACGACAAUGGGUGUGAAAAACACCCACGCCGAAAGACCAAGGUUUCCUGCGCAACGUUAAUCGACGCAGGGUUAGUCGGUCCCUAAGGCGAGGCUGAAAAGCGUAGUCGAUGGAAAACAGGUUAAUAUUCCUGUACUUCUGGUUAUUGCGAUGGAGGGACGGAGAAGGCUAGGCCAGCUUGGCGUUGGUUGUCCAAGUUUAAGGUGGUAGGCUGAGAUCUUAGGUAAAUCCGGGAUCUUAAGGCCGAGAGCUGAUGACGAGUGUUCUUUUAGAACACGAAGUGGUUGAUGCCAUGCUUCCAAGAAAAGCUUCUAAGCUUCAGGUAACCAGGAACCGUACCCCAAACCGACACAGGUGGUUGGGUAGAGAAUACCAAGGCGCUUGAGAGAACUCGGGUGAAGGAACUAGGCAAAAUGGCACCGUAACUUCGGGAGAAGGUGCGCCGGUGAGGGUGAAGGACUUGCUCCGUAAGCCCAUGCCGGUCGAAGAUACCAGGCCGCUGCGACUGUUUAUUAAAAACACAGCACUCUGCAAACACGAAAGUGGACGUAUAGGGUGUGACGCCUGCCCGGUGCCGGAAGGUUAAUUGAUGGGGUUAGCUAACGCGAAGCUCUUGAUCGAAGCCCCGGUAAACGGCGGCCGUAACUAUAACGGUCCUAAGGUAGCGAAAUUCCUU